UUUGCAUUUCCCUGGUUAUUAGUGAUUUUGAGCAUCUUUUCAUGUACCUGUUGGCCAUCUGUGUGUCUUUACAAGUUCUGAGGAAAGGAGCUAUUGCAAACAUGACACAAUGACCACACCUCUAAAUCUGCCAGAGGAAUCAUGGAAGGGGCUGUUCCUCCUUUUCACUUAAGUGAGAUGAGUGGUUUCUGCAUUCUUUCUAACCAGUGGACAAGACAGUCCUGUGCGCUCACAUUUAUCCAACCUUCCUUCACAUGACUGGGAAUGGACGAAGGGGAAAGCCCUGGCCAGCCUCCUAGUGCCACCAGCUCUAGAAAUCAGUCAUCUUGCUGAAUCUGAUGGUCUUUAAACCAGGGGCCAAGUUCUGGGUAAAAAUGAAUGACAAAUGAAAAGAAGUCUUGACUCUCAGAAAGGAGCCAAUAAGUGAAUAAUACAAAAAGGGAACGCUAACAUUAUCUUGGUACCUUGUAAGAGGCUGAGAGCAAGAGAAUACUCCUCUUAGCUAUAUUUACAGAGAUGCCCUUAAGGCCUGCAGAAAUCACCUCCUUUGGAGGUCGCCUCGAUUUGAAGCUGAAGGUCGAUUUACUCUGCAGUGAUUCAUGUGAUAUGUCUUGAUGUUGCUAAUAACAUCUAAGGGAUAAACACUUAGAAUAAUUUUAAUGUUUCUCCUUCUUUUAUAGGUUCUCAUUUUGCAGGUUUUAUAUAUUCUAAAGGAUCCCUUUUGAGAGGCAAAAUUAGGAUACUGUUGCCACUCAAAUGCAUACAAAAGAAUCUGUUCCACAACAGGGACCACCGUGUAACUAUUGAUCUACGUGGGGUCUGUUCAGAAAGAUGGCCGGAUGCAGGGACAUUACAAUAGCUGCUGUGUGCCUGACUAGUCACAGUUUGCACUGGAAUGUUUGGUAAGCUGCACUGUUUCUUUAAAGUUAUACCUGCACUGACGUCACUACACUGUACAAAUGAUUAGUAUUCUGACAUUUAUCCUUAUUUUUCUGUUCUAUAAAUGUAAAAAAGAAAUGCAGAAAGGAGAAUGCAGACAAGUGUAACUAAGAAAGCUGAACCAAGGAUGGGGUGUGUGGAAUAUGUCCUUCAGUUUUGUGUAGCCAGGUAAUGAGUUGGGAUGCAGAGGAUGAAGAUAGAAGAGGUGUAUGUCGGAUUGAGAGGGAGAAGGAAAGACUGAGCAGCAGCCCAUAAGAAGUGGAAAUGAGGGUAUAAGAAACUCAUUCUUUUCUGGAGUGUGGAUGGCCCGCCCCAAACCUGACUGAUGACGAACUCCACAAGUUGCCACUAUCUAUCUAGUCCUGUGCUCAGUGGUGGACAGUGCUAAUCAAUCAUGGAACCCAAAUGUAGUGUCAGAAUCCCUUAACACUUUACUCCAGGAGAACACUACGGGCUAGAUUUACCAGGCAAGAUAAAAUUUAUCUGAUACCUCCUUAAUCCCUUUCUUUCAAUUUGUUCAAUCAAGACAAAUCAAAGGAGAACAUUUAAUUAAUAAAUGUAAAUGAUAAGAAUGCACCUAGAAUUAGUUUACAGCGUUUUUGCCUUUAAGAUACAUUUCAAGAUUACCAGCCAGGUCUAAUUUAGUACACUUUGCUAAUUUUGUCAAUGCCUCUAAAUCAAUUUAUCUAUCUGCAAACAGGAAAGAGACCAGAGAGAGUGUAAGUAGCUGCUUCAUCCAGUAGAUAGAUGCAAAAAUGCUUCCAAAGCAGAAAAAAUUUACUUUUUCUCAUUGAUUAACACAUAUCGUCUGUAGUAAUGUUCCUUCAGUUAUAAAGUGAAUGUCAACAGAACUGACAAAUGAACUUAUGCAACUUGGAGAAACAUCGGAGUAAGACCUACAAUUUAGCAAAUCCCUGUGUCCGAGAGACAGCAUGUGUGUGGGAUGAGCAGUAGGCAGGGAUACAGAAGUAGCAGGGUUUGGGUUCCGAUUCUGCUACUAAUAAUAGUGUGACGGGAAAAGUCACUUAACAUCUCUUGGUUUCCUCUACUCCAUUGUUAAAAUUACUUGUAAACUCUAAAGUUCUGUGAUUCCAUGAAGGUCAUGGUUCUUGCCCUCAUCAGUACAGCACAAUGGUGAAAAAUGUGGCCUGCCCAGUUCUGACAUUGAUUAGCUGUGUCCUUGGGCAAAUUAACUGACCUCAUUGUGCCACAGUUUUUUUCAUCUAUACAAUGAGAAUAAUAAAAUAGUAUUUUUUCUUAGAAAAUUCUAAUAAGGCUUAGAUGAAAUAGUAUGUAAAAAAUGCUUUGUACGGUUCCUGGCACCUUAAGUAUGCAGUAAAUGUUAGCCAUUAGCAUUUUUGCCAUUUUCAUCAUCUCAACUUCAAGACUGGGACAGCAACAAAAUACACCAAACUUCCUUAACCCCCUGUAGAUAUGGCAUCUGUCUAAAAUUUUGCACUUAUUUAUACUUUUAUUCUUUAUUAUUGUUUGGGAUAAUAUCUUCCAGCUAUUUACUACUUAUUAUGAAGUAGUAGUCUAUAAGAUAAUUAGUCAUAAAUAUAUACUUCUUGCAGGCUUUUCAAGCGAGCUCCUCCUCCAUCGAGUCUAGGAUGCAUUACCAAAGUCUAUUAUUACUACAUUGUAUUACUACACUGUAUAUACCAACCACUUUCUCUCUAUCGAUUCCCAGGCAGAAGAAUCCAAUUCUUUUUAGCUUAUUAUUGCAGACAAUUUUCUCAUUCCUUUCAUAACUGUAGCUGCCCCUUUUGGGGAUCUUUUAUUACAUAUAUCUUUGUUUUCACAUGGGCAGAUUUUAAAAUUGCUUUUGUUAAUUUCAUUAUAAUCAUGUUUCAACAAACAAAAAAUGACACAAUCUGAAGAUUCUGCUCUCACUCCUUCUCAACCUGGGAUCUUAAGCCUCGCUGCCAAGUCUGUAAUGAUCCACAUCAACCCAAACUGGGGUUUUGCUGGGAACAGGAUCAUGCAGCUUUCUCGAUUCCAGACUCCUGACGAUACCCACGCUCCUGUUGCCACAGCAACAAGCUGGGCUGUCUUAUGAAACAGAUUGUGAUAAUUUUUACACUCCUUUCUUGAAUUGCAAACAUAGUUUGGAAGCCCAUUCCUUAAGUAAAUGCUAACAAUAUUUACUCAUUUGUCUAUUUACCCAACAAUUUAUCUCUCACAACUUAUUUUCAACUUGAAAGAAUUGUCACCUGACCAAAUGCACUUAAAAAUUGCAUUAUGCGCUCCUCUCCUAAUUUAAUUUUCAGAAAACUAAAUUGGUCUGGUACUCUUAUACCAGCUGAUGCUUAGUUACUAGUCUUAUUCAUUUACAGAAACUUGCUCCUCAGGGUACAUUUUACAUUUAAUUAUACAUAUAGAAUAUAAUCUACACUUAAUUUGUAUGAGAGCUGGCCAGAGUGGUUCCAGCAGCUGAGAAAACCAAUUCCCAUUAUCUGUGAUAAUGGCUAAAAAUUGCUCUUUGAGAACAUGGACUCUCUCCUUUCCUUCUCGUAGUCUGCUGUGAUUACGCCCACAACAAUCUCCGAUUUCAUCGCCUUUCAUACAGUACGAUAGGUUUAAGAAUUUACAAAUAUUAUACAAUGUUACAUG